rnacentral:rRNA from 1 species
UACGUAGGUGGCAAGCGUUAUCCGGAAUUAUUGGGCGUAAAGCGCGCGCAGGUGGUUUCUUAAGUCUGAUGUGAAAGCCCACGGCUCAACCGUGGAGGGUCAUUGGAAACUGGGAGACUUGAGUGCAGAAGAGGAAAGCGGAAUUCCACGUGUAGCGGUGAAAUGGCGUAGAGAUGUGGAGGAACACCAGUAGGCGAAGGCGGCU